UCAAUAAGCGGAGGAAAAGAAACUAACAAAGGAUUCCCCUAGUAACUGCGAGUGAAGCGGGAAAAGCUCAAAUUUAAAAUCUGGCAGCCUUUGGUUGUCCGAGUUGUAAUCUAGAGAAGUGUUAUCCGCGCUGGACCGUGUACAAGUCUCCUGGAAUGGAGCGUCAUAGAGGGUGAGAAUCCCGUCUUUGACACGGACUGCCAGGGCUUUGUGAUGCGCUCUCAAAGAGUCGAGUUGUUUGGGAAUGCAGCUCAAAAUGGGUGGUAAAUUCCAUCUAAAGCUAAAUAUUGGCGAGAGACCGAUAGCGAACAAGUACCGUGAGGGAAAGAUGAAAAGAACUUUGGAAAGAGAGUUAAACAGUACGUGAAAUUGCUGAAAGGGAAACGCUUGAAGUCAGUCGCGUUGUCCAGGGAUCAACCUUGCUUUUGCUUGGUGCAUUUUCUGGUUGACGGGUCAGCAUCAAUUUUGACCAUUGGAAAAAGAUUAGGGGAAUGUGGCAUCUUUGGAUGUGUUAUAGCCCUUGGUUGCAUACAAUGGUUGGGAUUGAGGAACUCAGCACGCCGCAAGGCCGGGUUUUUAACCACGUACGUGCUUAGGAUGCUGGCAUAAUGGCUUUAAUCGACCCGUCUUGAAACACGGACCAAGGAGUCUAACAUGCCUGCGAGUGUUUGGGUGGAAAACCCGAGCGCGUAAUGAAAGUGAAAGUUGAGAUCCCUGUCGUGGGGAGCAUCGACGCCCGGACCAGACCUUUUGUGACGGCUCCGCGGUAGAGCAUGUAUGUUGGGACCCGAAAGAUGGUGAACUAUGCCUGAAUAGGGUGAAGCCAGAGGAAACUCUGGUGGAGGCUCGUAGCGAUUCUGACGUGCAAAUCGAUCGUCAAAUUUGGGUAUAGGGGCGAAAGACUAAUCGAACCAUCUAGUAGCUGG
rnacentral:rRNA from 1 species